GCGGCCGGUGGCGAUUAAGUGCGGUUCUGGAUGUUCGUUGCUGGUGGUGCUUGUGGUGGCCGCCAACUUCAUGACGAAAUGGUAGCUAAAUCAACACCGGAUGUUCACAGGUUGCAACCGAUGGCAAAAACGACGGGUUUUUUUGCAACAGUCCGGAAACGAACAGUUGGAAUUUGAACCCGCUGCUACUGGAACAACCCCGGUGCGAUCGUGAAUAAGGAUAGGUCAUUUGCCGGAAUGUUUGUUUCCAGGAAUGGAACUUAUCAACAAAAAAGUGUUUCAAAUGAUGUUAAAAAAAAUUAAAAUAAAAUCAAAAUGAAGUUA